GAUAUUGGACAAUGGGGGCAACACUGAUCCAGCCAUGCCGCGAGUGUGAAGAAGGUCUUCGGAUUGUAAAGCACUUUAAGUUGGGAGGAAGGGCUUUCGGUUAAUACCCUGAAGUUUUGACGUUACCAACAGAAUAAGCACCGGCUAACUAUGUGCCAGCAUCCACGGUAAUACAGAGGGUGCAAGCGUUAAUCGGAAUUACGGGGCGUAAAGAGCGCGUAGGUAGUUCAGUAAGAUGGGUGUGAAAUCCCCGGGCUUAACCUGGGAACUGCUUUCAUAACUGCUGAGCUAGAGUACGGUAGAGGGUAGUGGAAUUUCCUGUGUAGCGGUGAAAUGCGUAGAUAUAGGAAGGAACACCAGUGGCGAAGGCGACUACCUGGAAUGAUACUGACACUGAGGUGCGAAAGCGUGGGGAGCAAACA
rnacentral:rRNA from 1 species